CUGGGCUCCUACAAGGGCUUGGGUCA
rnacentral:misc_RNA from 1 species